GCUCAGUUAGCUUAGACGGUAGUGCGUCUGCCUUGUAAGCGCUAGGUCGCGGGUUCGAUUCCCACCCGGAGCG
rfam:Asian citrus Psyllid, Diaphorina citri - Florida Strain, whole genome shotgun sequence.